rnacentral:rRNA from 1 species
AUUGAACGCUGGCGGCAUGCUUUACACAUGCAAGUCGAACGAUAACAGGGUGCUUGCACCGCUGACGAGUGGCGAACGGGUGAGUAAUGCGUCGGAACGUGCCGAGUAGUGGGGGAUAACGCAGCGAAAGUUGUGCUAAUACCGCAUACGUACUGAGGUAGAAAGUGGGGGACCUUCGGGCCUCACGCUAUUCGAGCGGCCGACGUCUGAUUAGCUAGUAGGUGAGGUAAAGGCUCACCUAGGCGACGAUCAGUAGCGGGUCUGAGAGGAUGAUCCGCCACACUGGGACUGAGACACGGCCCAGACUCCUACGGGAGGCAGCAGUGGGGAAUUUUGGACAAUGGGCGAAAGCCUGAUCCAGCAAUGCCGCGUGUGUGAAGAAGGCCUCCGGGUUGUAAAGCACUUUUGUCCGGAAAGAAAUCGCGCUGGUUAAUACCUGGCGUGGAUGACGGUACCGGAAGAAUAAGCACCGGCUAACUACGUGCCAGCCGCCGCGGUAA